CGCUCGUAGCAAUACGAGAGCGGCAGACGGGUGAGUAACACGUGGGAACGUGCCCUUCGGUUCGGAAUAACCCAGGGAAACUUGGGCUAAUACCGGAUACGCCCUUCGGGGGAAAGAUUUAUUGCUAGAGGAUCGGCCCGCGUCUGAUUAGCUAGUUGGUAGGGUAAUGGCCUACCAAGGCGACGAUCGGUAGCCGGCCUGAGAGGGUGAUCGGCCACACUGGAACUGAGACGCGGUCCAG
rnacentral:rRNA from 1 species